UUGUACCUUAUACCGCUGCACAGGUUCAAA
rnacentral:piRNA from 1 species